rnacentral:lncRNA from 1 species
AUUAAAAAAAUGCAUAAGGACUUGCACUUUGAUAAUAAUAGACUGGGGCAUGAUCGUUAUUACUACCAUAAGAAAUAUGAAAAUUUUGAAACAAUUCUACACCAAAAGUCCAAAAAAUUGUGAUGAAUUAACCUAACUAACUUCCAUCCUUUUUUCUUUGUUUUUCUCUAUGCCAUUUUCUUUUCCAUUAUCGGUGGCAUAUGAAUCUUCAUCAAUUGGGAUGAAACAAUUCUACAUCAAGGUCUAUUUUGAAAGUUAUCCUCUUUCUUUUUUUCUUCUUAUAAUCAACAACCUGUUGUCAAAGAAAGUAUCAAUAUCAGCAACAACACAUACAGAACUAUAAUAUUCAAGUCCUUAAGUUAGGUUGAACAUAAUCUUUAUCAUCAAAUUCUAUAGUUAAUAACUUCCUUUUGUAUCAUUUGGAUAUUCAAAUGCCACUUUACUCUAUUGAAUAACUACUAAACCCAUAAUGCUUUUUGUAUCAAAUAAAUAUGCAUUAUAGUAACAUAUUGCCUCAUUCAGCUUGAUCAAGUUGUUGAAAAACUUCAGUGUAAUAGUAAAGCUAUAAAAUUGCAAUCAAGGAAUAAAACAUAAAAUUUGUCUUCUAUAAUUAAUCAGAAAGAAAAAAAACCUGAUUUGAAGUUACAUAAGGUGGAGAUCAAGAGCAGAGGAAAUGAGUAGUAGUGGUGGUCAAUGCAGUAGGUAACGAUGGAGGCGGUGGUCGGCAAGGAGGAUGACAACAGCGGUCAGAGAUUGAAGCCGAUGGUCAGAUGCAGUUUGUGAACACAGAGGCGAUGUCUUCAUAAUCAGGAAGCGGGAGAGCAAGGCAGCAAGCCGGUUGAGAGGAAGAAAGCGUCGAAGGGCCAAAUGAGGAAGAUGACCCAAUCAGCUAUUUUUUUUACUCAUUUAGCAUACAAUUUGUACCAUAUGAGAUUCACAACAACAACACCAAACGAAAAAAUAUCAGAAAAAAAAAAUCAUCAAUACUUCAUUAAAUCUAGCAUAAUCAAAGAAGAACAAAAAAAAAGAAACUUGAACAUCACAAAAAAAAUCCAACAUCUCUGCAAAAUUUGAGCACAAAAAAUCGGAGAAAAAAGGUAUCAAAACUCACAUGUUCGGAAUUUUGAUGGUUGCCUGUUGAAUGGUCGGAGGAAGCUGACACCAUUAAGCAACAUAUCAGGAUUGGAAGCAACAUGUGAACUUGAUAGCAGUAUUCAUCGAUGGAUGUUCUUCCUGUGGAGGCAUUCAAUCGUAGGGAAAAAUUGGAAUGAUGAAUGUUUUGUCACAUUUUGUCCCGGUCCAGAAAAUGAAAAGGUAUGACCGAAUCAGAUCCAAAGCUUGGACCGAGUCCACAGCUUGGACUAGUCUUUGAUUGUAAAAUGAUCAUCAAACAUGUUGAUUAAGUUUUUUUGGACCGGGUACUAUAUUGGACUCAGUUAGAGGCUAUAUCAAACGAGCCCUAAGAAAACUCUGAGCUUUAUACCUCAAAAUGAAGCUCCACACUAAGAUAAGCCCAGAUCCAAGGCCUGAAAUCCUACUCCGUCUUCUUCAAGACUCCUUCUUCACUCCAAAGAAACUCAAGAAUGCUCUUAAGGCUCUCUAAUACACUCACAAGCUCUAAGAACGAAAACUAGGAUUUAGGAGGGUUGGUGACUGAGAAUGGUGGCCAGGAAUAAGGCCAUCAUAUCCUUUAAAUAGGGGUCUCACCCUAAAUUAGGGUUUUCAAUCUGAGCCUAGUACGCCUAGCGUACUAGGUGGCUUCCGCAUAAAAAGCACGCAUAUGAGUACGCUUAGCAUACACUCGCGUACGCCCCGCAUACUCACUCACCACCUUUUCUUAUAAAGGGACUAAAAUGGUCAAAUACUCAAAAGACCAAGGGUUAAGAGUUAUACCUGAUCUCGGGAUGUUACACAACUUGCACAAACUAGAAAGAUAAGCACGCACUCCCUCACUUGCGAAAUAUGAGCACAGCCACCCACCUGGUAGUGUGUGGCGGUCAGUCACGAGCAAGCUGAUGUGGAACCAUGUGAAAGCGGAAGGAGAAUGAGUGGUCGCAGCGGGGAACGGGGGUUGAGUCUCCACCGACAAACAACAUCAACAGCCACGAUUCAUGGUUCUGGCGACCUACUGAUUCGGCGUCUAUGUCAUGCUCUACGUUUCUGUUGGCAGUCGCACCGACGGUUUGGCUUCGGUGGUCUCAGACAUUUAUAGUGGCUAGGAGGCGUGCGAUGGUUGGAGGUAGGUGGUAUAAGGUUGGCGGCUGAAAGAUAUAAUUAGGGUUCGGGUUUCCUUGGUGAUGCAUCCUUAAAACAAAAAGGGAAGGGGACCGGGUUCAAGUCUUGUGUCUGAUUUGAAACUGUAGGGUUUCAAAGUACUCCAUGGAUGAUGGCAAUGGGCCCCUUUAAUGAAUUCUAGGUUAAAAGCCCAAGACUUGUCUUUUCCCUAUAAAUAGUCAUGUAUUAUUCACAAUUAGGGUUGAGAGAGAGAGAGAGAGAGAGGCAAAAUGUAGCCGCCACGUGAGGUUUCUUAUGUACUGUUAGAUUCUUUAGUCUAUGCUGAAAGUGUAAUUUGUUCCUCUUGUUUCAAUAAAUCGAGUGAUCAUUCGACCUAAUCUUCAUAUUUGUGUGUGUUCUUAUGUUCCACAUCUUGUUCAUCAAAUCACAAUUAGGGUUUGAAUCCCAUCAAGUGGUAUCAGAGCAGAUCUUUGAAGAUCUAUUGAUUUUUGAAGUAUCGGUUCUUGAUUUGAUGAUUUUCUGCAUGAGUUAUUGAAGAUUAUUGGUGUUUUGGCGGUAUGGAAUCAAGCUUUCUGUUCAAGCAACUAUUAAUGGAAAAUUAUGUGUUCUGUUACUGUUCAUCUGGUAUUUUAUUUGAUCCGAUAUGUGUUUCUGUUCGUAUUCAUGAUUGGAUCUGUUUGUUAAUUCAGUCCAAGAUCAAUAAUUAUUCUAUUGUUUUAAUGUGACCCAAAUAAUGGAUCCUUUACUGUUCAUGAUCCGUCAUCUUUUGUCCUAUUUGUUUUCUUUUUGUGUCACUAGAACCUGCGUAUGUCGUUUGCUUUGUACAUCAUUCCUUCAUCUAGUCGAUGUCUCAUUAUCUUGAUCAAAAUCGUUGAAUAUUGGUUAUUGGUUGUUAUCGUGAAGUUCAUCAAUCCAUUCUUUUUAGUUUUAAUCCAAGGUCAAUUUUUUUAAUCGAUUUUCCGAUUCCUAUUCAUAUAAUCGAUUUGAUUUUCCAAAUAAUUUGAUUUAUGUUGAAAUUGGAAAUUUUUUGAUGAUAUUGUUCUAACUAUGAGUAAAAUCGAUCGAUCUUUGGAGAAUCGAUUGGAAGUUUGAUUGAAUGCGAAUCUCGAUGUCUGAUGAUGAAUGGAUGAACAAUGUUGUUUCUUGAUUUAGAUGGUCAAAAUAGAAAAGUCAAAAUUGGAAUUACUAAUCUGUGAACGAUGCUCUCAUCUAUGAGUGCAAUCGAAUGCGUAGACUGAAUAUUCUCGGUUAUCUAUCGUGAUUGUAUUGAUCUGGGGAUGUCAAUUUUGGCAUUUGUCAGUCUUAAUGGUCCAAGAAACAAAAGUCAAAAUCGACUCAUAUAAACGGAGAACAGUGGGUUGUUGAUCUAAAAUCAAAUUGGAAUCAGGUUCUCAAUCGCCAAAUGGGUUUUACAUUCGGGGCUUAAUACAAUCAGAACAAACGAAUGAAAGUCAGAUUGUUGUGAAAAUCAUUACCUACAAACGAUCAAAGCUCGUUUUUUUUACUUGCACUCAUAUUGUUCGUCGACAGUGGUUCGUAUUGGGUUUGUGAUCGUCGGAGUCUGAGCGAGAGAUCACGGUUUUGGGGGUUUUAGGGUUGCCUUGAUUCGCAACUUACAGAUGGUCAGUGUAUUCGAAGGACUUGGAAUGAACUUGGGUUUGCGUGAUUAUGCUUGGAACUGAAUAGAACCGAAUGUUCGGUUGGGUUCGCUUUUUGGGUGUGUAAUGAACAAGAAACGAACCUUACAAUCACAAACGAAACUCAUAGAAGCGAAGGUCACAGACGCUAACAUUUGAAGCGAACCUGAGAUUCGCUUCCGGUUGACGAGAUUCGCUUUGGGUGUACUUGGAAUGAACGGUGGCACUAUUGGACUCGGACACGAACGUAAAGAAGAAAAUGAAAGGGUCGAACGAUGUUAUUGGAUGAUCGGUAUUGUAUCUGUGGUUCGUAUGCGAACGAUUGUUUACAGUUGUCGUUCAAUUCUUUUAAUCAGUCGAUAUAUCAUAUAUUGGGGCUGAAGACAUAAUGUUACAUUCUUGGCCCCUGUAAUUUCAGAGAAUGGACACUUUUGGUCCCUGUUGUUUUCACAACUUGGCAAUUAUGUAUAAAUUCCAGAAAUUGUUACAUUUAAAAGGGAAAUUCAUGCAAAGUUACAUUUUCAGUCCUAGAAUUUCAGAAAAGUGACACUUUCAGCCCAUUUUUUGAAAAGUUUGCAAAUUUGAGGGCCGGUGAACAGUUUUGGAUUUUUUAAUGCACAUAUUUUUUUCGUGAACAGAAAAAUAAAUAUUCCAUCAAGUCUUGGCGGUUCGGAAAGUCAUUUUUCGUGAUAACGUCAAAUUUUUCACAACUUUUUCGGGUUUUAAACUUCAUUGUGUAAAUCAUUUUGUCGCGGGGGAGCUUAGUAAAUUUUUAUCCAUUCAAGAUCAUUCUCAUGACCAUUUGAAGGUUUUAUAAUCAUGUUUUUGAUUAUAAAUCUACGGAGAAUUUGAUAUGGUCAUUCGAAAUUGGAUUUGUAACUUUUCAAAUUUGAAGAUUUUUGAUAAAGCUUGUGGUAGAAUUAUGAAGGUAGCUUUUACAGCGGAAGUUCUUCAUCGAGCUCUGUUAAAGCUUUUAUAGAGAAUUAUCCUUUACAGAGGAAGUUCUUUAUCGAGCUCUGCUAAGGACUUGUUAUAUCUCCGACUCGUUGUAUUUUCUCGAUCAAGUGGCGUUACGAAUCUUAAAGUUUGGGUUGUUACAUGAUAUUUUUUGAUGGCUUGAAUCAUUAGCUUAUUUGAAGAUCAUUGUGACUUGGAGGGGGAGCUCUUCAAAGACAAGAAGUGAUUCAGUUUCUUUGUUCUGAAAUAGGUUUUUAUGGCAGGUUUGGUUUUACAUGAAGAUUCUUUGGGAUUACAUUCGAAAAUGAAGUUUAAAGACAUUACUUCAGUGCUUGAUAUAUAUAUCCUAGAGCCCAUGUUUGAAGACUAUUGAAGAAUCAAGAUUCGUGGAUUGCUUCAUAUAUUCCUCGUUGCAGAUCUUUUUAUUUGCUAGAUGCUUGUUUUGGAAGUUAAAGCAUUGUCAUCCAUUCCAUACUUUGAGGGGGAGAUUGUAGGGUUUCAAAGUACUCCAUGGAUGAUGGCAAUGGGCCCCUUUGAUGAAUUCUAGGUUAAAAGCCCAAGACUUGUCUUUUCCCUAUAAAUAGUCAUGUAUUAUUCACAAUUAGGGUUGAGAGAGAGGCAAAAUAUAGUCGCCACGUGAGGUUUCUUAUGUACUGUUAGAUUCUUUAGUCUAUGCUGAAAGUGUAAUUUGUUCCUCUUGUUUCAAUAAAUCGAGUGAUCAUUCGACCUAAUCUUCAUAUUUGUGUGUGUUCUUAUUUUCCACAUCUUGUUCAUCAAAUCACAAUUAGGGUUUGAAUCCCAUUAGAAACAUAAGCCCGUAUUACACUUCCAGUCCCUCCCCCUCAAUUCCUUUUCAAUCUAAGCCCACUAAUUACCAAACCGCCCUCAACUUCCAAAAUUCAUUACAAUUCAAGUCCAAAUGUUUCAAUAUAGAUCCGUAAUUCCAGAAAUUAUAUCAUUUAACUCGUUAUGGUUAAUACUGAUAAAUUAUUAUGAAUUUAAGGCUAUUAUUCAUUUAUUAAUUUUAUCUAUUUAUUUAUUUAUUAAACGGAAUGUUACAAUUGCAUACCUGGUAAAGGGAAUGGAAAUUCAGACGUUGGAUUAAAUGUUACUUCUUUCAAAACUUUUGAAUCAUGUGCUAUGCCCUCCCAUCCAGCCCAUACAAAGGUGCAUAUCAUAUUAAAAUCACAAAUUCCUAUUACAUUUUGAUAACAUUCACCUUUUCAUCUUCCCCUAUAGCGAUUUUGUUCAUCAACUGACACAACUGCAUGUACAAGUGUUGCAUUUAGUGAACCUACUGCUCCAGGAAAUGUAUUUUAGCCGUCUAUGUCGUUCCGAGGUAUGUCUUGUUGUAUUAAAAUAUGUUGCUACUAUAAUUUCUCUUGCAAAACACAUCAUUGCACUUAGGACCUCGUGAAAACAUUGAUGAAUCAUUUGUAAGGAGUGGUGAAGCCUUCCUAUAAUGGCUCGAAAACGUUCAUUAUGUCCUAUAACUUGUAAAAAUAUAGCCAUCUUUUCUUCAACACUUAUUGACCUACUACGUUGCAACUAAUUUCUUUGACUAAAAUGAUUGCAUAAAAAUACAAUGCUUCUUGUGAAAGACGCAUCAUAUCGUAACAUUGUAUAGGACAUCAAUAUAUCAAAUCUUGUGUAUACGCAUGCCUAGUGUCUUCCAAUUCGCUGGAUUUUAUUCUUUCAAUACUUUUUUUUCCUUUGUUGGACCAACGUCAGCCAAUACCAUGAGAGUAUAAGGAAACCUAAAAACCACCUUCUUUAUCCAUAUAUGACAUGUUAAAUGUUAAAUAUAAAUCACAUACAUUUAUAACAUAAACCAUGACAUAAAUCAAUAACAUAAAAAUCCAUAACAUAUAAAUCCAUCACAUAAAAAUCCAUAACAUAAAAAUCAAUACCAUAUAACAAUCCUAAACAUAACACAUAAAAAACCUAAACAUAAAAAAUUCUAAACACAACACAUAACAACCCUAAACAUAAAAAUCCAUAACAUGUACCAUGAUAUAAAUCCAUAAAACAUAAAGUCAAAAACAUCCUAAAGUCAUACUAAAGUCAACCAAGUAAUCCAAAAUUCUUGCCCGCACUUUUCACCCACAACUCACAAGUCGCAGACUCGAGGCGUAACCAAAAUUUUCUAUUACCAACAUUUUUAGCGAAUAACAUAAGAGCAGUGAUGUAUUUUGGAUCAGAAUUUCCCCAACCCAAGCCUUUCAAUUUAUCAAUACAUUCAUCCAUCUCCUUGUCAAGAUUACUUGUUUGCGCGAACUCCUGAGUCGCCUUCAUAAUUUCCUUGCCAACCUCUCUUAUUUCAUCAUCCAGUGUGUCCUUGGGUGCGAGUGCAUUUCAUUUUCCUCUUUUGUUUUUGGUCUGACCAGAGGAAUCUUCACUUACAUGUGAUGCACUUAUAGGUGGGGGUACUGUUGAGGAACUUGUUGGGGGUGUAGUGUUAAAGCUGAGGCUGGGAUAUCCAUUUGAGGUGGUGGAUCUACCAUCUCGAUAUCCUCAUAAUCUUUUGUAGUAAACACUUUUGAUGGAGGAUGAGGGAGUGUCGAAGAUAGUCCCCAACUGACAGCACCAGUCGUGGUCACACCAUCAAACAACUCGGUGCAUAGAUAUGGGUAAAGGAGGGGCGCAUUUGUUAAUUUCUCUACCAUCUUGUUCAACUGUUUGAAAAAAUGAUAUUAUUAUUAAACUUUUAAAACAAAAUAAUAAUGUGUUUUAAAAUAAAAGAAUACAUUCGUCUCCGCUUUCCACUCUUCACCCGUCAUUAGAAACGUGUUUCUUAUAGGAUUAUAGAGAUUCCCAGUUUUGUUUUUUAAUUUCAACCAAACCGCAUACUUGCUUUUCAAGUAGUCAUAAUGAUAUUUUUUUUUCAACAACAAAGUCAUGUUCGUUUUUUUAGUUUUUCAGCUAUUGUAUUCCAUAAGUUUCAUUUGAGACCACUACCCUCACGACCAUUACUUGUUAGUUAUUGUAUACAUGCGUCAAGAAAAGUUUUGUUCACAAAAUCCAAAGACCAACUAGCUCUACUUAUCUUUUAUGCCAUGUCUAUGGAAUAAAUGAAUGCUAAACAUGUUACAUAAAUAUAUACACAUAUACACAUAUACACCAAUAUACACACAAAUAUGCACACAUAUACACAAACAUAUAUACAUAUACACAUAUUGUCUUAUAAUAAAUAAUUGCAACUUUUGCAAAAGCCUUUGUGUAAUUUUUGUUAAAGCUAAACUUGGGAAUAAACACACACACACAUAUAUAUUUAUAUAUAUAUAUAUAUAGAGAGAGAGAGAGAGAGAGAGAGAGAUAGCUUCAAAUGUUUUUAGCAAUUAUUGUGUGCCUAAAUGCACCAAUGAGAAUUCAAGAAAUAACAAAUAAUUAAAUAAAUUAUUUAAGAGUAUAAUAGUAAUAUACGCAUCUUUUUAUAUGGAAAUUUUGAUUAGUUCUCCUUAAAACCUGUCAUUCUACAUCUUAAAACCCAUAGUCGACCAUUGCCGAUCACGAUUCUCCCCCUUUUCACAUUUUUUUUCUUAUUUCCACCACCGUCCUAUUUGCAUCGGACGAUCUCCACCCAACAGCAGCCACAAGCACCGUAUCGUCGUCGUUUUUUCCCAUUGGUAUUUUCUCUGUUUUCAAUUUUGGUCUACAUCUUAACGGUACAACAGUUUAGAACCCUAUAAUCGAUUCUAAAGGAAGCCCUAAACGUGUUUCAUUUGAUAUUACUGAUUAGGGGAUACUCUUGUUAAGGCAUACAGGAAAGAAAUAUAAUCCCAUUUGUUACAGUUUGAGGUAAGAACAUGAAGAUUGUCACAACGAAUAACAUUGGAGACAGUCACACCCAGCUAAGGUUAGAUUUUGUUAAAUUUUUCCUACUGUCGAUUUUUUCUCAUGCUGUUGACCCUCCCCUGAUGUCUAUCAAUUGUCGCCUAAUAAUCGAUGUUGCAUACACAUCAUGCAUUCCAACUGUUCGACGAAAUGCCAGUAAGAAAAAACAAAAUAUUUUCUAAAAAAAAGAUUUAUUUAAAGAAAAUGAUAAAUGAAAGGCUUUUCUUGUUUGCAGAUACAAUUGAAGUCUUUAGCAGAAGAAAUGCAGGCCAUUAUUAAGGGUCUUGAAAAGGUCAUACAAGAACUAGAUGCUUCAGCAAACGAUGGCCCUGUCUAUGAAGUUUUUCAUAAAGUAAAUACACAAAUACUUUACUCAAUUUCUUCUAAUUCGAUAUCUUUUUUUUAUAUAAAACUACAAUCUGAUGCGAAUAUUUCUUUUUGUUGCAUUCUUAGACACCGAAGCAGUUUAUCAGCAUUGUUGAGUUGGAAGUAGGGUCCAUAAGAAAUUUGUAUUUUGUGGUGGUAAGAAUCAAGAACAACCCUUUGAAUUAAACUUUAUAUAUAUUUUGUAUUAUUUUAUAAUGUUUGUGUUGCAGGGUAGAAAUGUUGAUGCAUUGGCAUUAUAUUUUGGUGAAGAUCCUGCUUGUUGCCCUUUUGAACAAGGUAACAUAUUUAAUUGACAUGUUCUUUUUAUAAGGAGAAAUAAUAAUAAUAAUAAUAAUAAUAAUAAUAAUAAUAAUUGUUUAAUUGCAUAUGCUCGAAAGUAUAAGAGAAGAAUGAUGGUUUAUGGCUAUGGUUGUAGUUAAUUCUUUAAGAAUAUUCAAAACCAUUCUGCAAGAAUAGUUUAUUCUGUAAGAAUAUUAUUGUUGUAUUCUGAUAGAAUUGUAGUUAAUUAUUUUUAUGUUUAAUGUGCAGUUGUUACAAGUGUAUCACUACGAAUUACUUGGCAAUGAAUUUCAGAUAGAAAUUGCUUGAAGUCAUGAUGGGAAAGGCUUGAAGAAUGAAUUAAAGAAUGAUCACACUUAUUGUUUAAGAAUGUUUUUAUUUUUUAAGAAUUAUACUUGUUAUUCUUUCAUAAUGUUUGUUAUUAUUCAAUGAAUCACAAUCAUACAGUGUAAUUAUUUGGUAUAUUAUUAGUUCAUGAAUCGAUUUUGUAUAUUCUUUCAUAAUGUAUUUACUAGUUUAUGGUUGACAUUCUGUCAUUCUGACAACAUAAAAUCGAAAAAUAUAUUUACUAGUUUAUUGCUAACAUUAUAUAAUUCUGAUAGAAUAGAAUUGGAUUUUUAAUUUUGAAUUAAUUUAAAAUAUUCAGAUUUUUGAAAAUAAAGGAAUUAAUUAUCNUUUUGAAAAUAAGGAAUUAAUUAUCCCUAAAAAUACGAAAAUUUCCUUUUUUACUAUAGGUUAAUUGACUAAAAUGCCCUUAUGCUUAAACUUAUGUGAUUAUAUGAUACAUGCUAUCCUAUUCUACUAUCAUAGACCCUCAAAUCACGCCCCUUGAUUAUAUUUCAUCCAAUGGUCCAGAUCUGUGCAUUCUGACAUACAAUAGUUACUAGAAACAAAAUAACCUAAGCCUAUAUAUAUAUAUAUAGUUCGGAUCUUGUGAGGACUCAAAAAACGAUGAGGAUUGCAAGGACAAUAGGACUCAAAAAACGGGGAGGAUUGCAAGGACAAUUCUCGUCCAAUCGUGUUCAUUNUACAAAAGAAAAAACAUAUGCAGACAUAUAAAUAAAGAAACAUAUACACAACUUUUGUGUAAUUUUAGUUAAAGGUAUACAAAAGCUUUUUCAACUUUUAGGAAUAAAAGCAACAAAACAUUAAACAACAAAGUAGGAAUAUGAUAUCUGAGCCAAACACAUAACUCGUAUACAUCUAAGCAAAACCCAAAAUCCCACUAAAAACCCAUAUAUUUCUCAGCCAAAAACAGAAGGAACGAGUUGGGGGGNNNNNNNNNNGAAGAAAUCAGCAAACAGUUAAAAAAAAUUCAGAAUGAAGAAGCAAAGAAGUAGCUGAUCGUGGGAAAAGAAUUGAACAUAACAUUCAAUGAAGAAAUCUAGAAUGAGAACGAAGGAAGAAAGAAGAAAUUGUUACCUUUUGAUCGGUCAUGUCGUUGCUUCGUUGAUCACUGCCUUUUCUCUGUGCAGGUUCUCAACAUAUUACGUAGGGUAAAUUCCGAAUACGCAUAACCAAUAUACGUCCUAGUCCAGCGAUUGAGAGGGAAGGACUGAAUCAACCUUUUUUCUUAGACUGAGUCUUAUGCUUGGACCGAGUCCUUAAUUGUAAAAAACAAAAUCAAACUUCUUGAUCUAUCUUUUUUGGACCAGGUCCUUGUUAGAUGCAAGUAGAAGCAAUAACAAACGACCCCUUACCACGCAUGUUAAUUUUAUUCAAGUCUCGGAUGAUUAUGUUUAAGGAUCAAAGGAGAGCAGGGGCAACCACAUUUGAGGUAGUUCAAUGGUCUACACCAAUUGUCUUUUAAGAAAAAAAAUAUAUGACCUUAAUCCCUUGAAAAUAUACUUAUUAACUUGAAUGGAAUCAAUUCGAAAAUAUAGUAUUACUUUGCCUUUAAUCCUUUGAAAAUACACUUUGCAAAUUAAUCACAAAUCUUUGGGUAAAUUACAUGAAUGUUCCAUGUGGUUUGUGGGUUAAUAUACAUGCUUGGUCUUUAAUCUUUUUUUUUAAAUUCGAACCAUCCUUAUGAUUUUUUUUUAUCGGUCAAUAAUCAUUAUCAUUAAUUGAAGAAAGUUUUACAUAGACAUAGCGGGUAAAACAAACAACAGACUGUGCUGCAACUCCUUUUUGGAUGACAAAACCAAUUAUUUUAAAAAAAAUCUAUAAAUCUUGAGGUCAAUGUCAUUACUAUGUAUAAUCCGUUGGAUUUUGGUCCGUAUAAUAAUUAUUUUUCCCUUAAUAAUAUAUUUUAAUUUUAUUUUAAUUCUUAUAUAGAAUAAUUGUGUAAAUAUGCACACCAAACCUCUUUCCCUUAUCUCUCCCCCACCUUGCAUCCUUGAUCUCUCUAUAGUCUCGCCAACACUAGUUCUCCACACUAGAAAAUUCAUCACCAUCAAAGGAGGUUUCGGAUAGCAUAGAUGUGAAAUGGGAAAAAGGAAUGGUUUAACUAAGUUUCCGAAUAACCACCACCUACACGUGUCUGACGACGUCGAAGUGGAGAAAGGAACAAUUACUUGCUCUUCUGAUGGGUGUUCUUUUGGGAGAGAGAGAGAGAGAGAGAGAGAGAGAGAGAGAGAGAUAAUCCUUUAAAUAAUUUACUUAUAUCAUAAUAAUUUAAAGGUUUGUGUGUAGAAAAAUCUCAUUAUUUUAGGAAUUUUUUUGAUAAUUAAAGGCGUAAUUUUUUUAAUAGAAAAAUCUUGAUUAUUUAACAUUUUGUCCAAAUUAACAAAAACAUUAUUUAUCAUAUUUUAAUAGAAAAUAAUAGAUUAUGUGAUUUUUCCAAAAUAAUUGGAUUUUUUUGUUCAAAAAAAAUAUAUUUAAAACUUUAUCAAAAGUUUUUCAUAAAUAAUGAGACUUUUAUGCAUAAAAUCUAAAAAUAUGUUAAAAAAUAUGAUAAAGAGUAAAAUAGUCGAUUUAAAUUGAUCAGAAAGUAAAAUCGAAACCAAAUCAAAAUGUAAGGAUGACCCAAGUUAAAAAAUAAUAAAAUUAAAAUAAAAAGAUAAAAAAUAAAAAAGAGUUAGGGACAAACGAAGAUACUGCCCAAACCAUCGGGAGUAUUUGUGUCGGUUAUCUGAUUUAGUUUCAUAUGCACGCAAAAAGUAUUUGGCCUAGUUGCAAUAUUGCAUCUCUCGACUUUCAUAGUCUCGUAUGAAAUCUUAAAUAUAUAACUACCACAAUUUUUAGUCAACAAACUUACUUAUAACUUAAAAUAAAUCUUUUUGUUUUUUUAAAAGCUAGUAAAUUGCACUUCAAAAUGUAAAACUAUUUAUUGCCCACGGGCCACGACUGAUGCAUCCAUGCAUGUUAGCACACCAUGCAUAAAUACAAUUUCAGCUAAAGAUUAUCUUGAAAUAUAUCAACUGUUUUCAAGUUUCACCAGUAUAUCUUUGAUUUGGUUUAUUCCAACUCAAAUUAACAUCACGCUCUUCUCAAUUGUUUCCGAUUAAUAUAAUUUUUUUUUACUUUGACUUUCAUUAUUAUUAGCGCAUAUGAAAACUAUAUUUAUUUCUAUAAUAACUAGAACUCGAGAUCACUUGAUGAUGUUAGGUUAAGCUCACAUUUGAUUUGAUAACUCGACAUUUUUCUAAUACGUUCUUCUAAUAUAAGCUUGGAUUUUGAUCUAGAAAAGUUAACUCAAUUCGAAAACUCUGAUAACUAAAAAAUAUUUAUGACAUUAAUAAUAAAUUGUGCAUUCGAAAUUCGAACCUGAUAAAAUUCGCCUUGAUCGAUAAAGCUUGGAUAACUUGAUAGAAAUUCGAGUCCUUUGCAAACUCUAUGAUGGUGAAUCAGUGAUUGUGAAUUGGGGAUAGGGGAUAGGUGGUCCGAGAUAUGUCUGCCACAUGCAUUCAUGUUGUGUGUCAAUUUUCUUAAGAGAAUGAGUUUGACACUGUUUGGUUUUUAUUAUCCCACUUGCAUAUGCCCUUUUUUGUAAUUUCUUUCGCUUAUGUUAUUUCUUUUUUAUAUAAAUUUUUUUAAUAGAACUGUAUAUAUAGACAUGUUUGUGUAUGUAUGUCCUUCACAAAAAUUUCAAAGUUCUUGAUCAAUUUCAUCAAAAUCAAAUAUCCAAUGUUCGAUUUCAUAGUUCAAUAUAUAUCGAUUGAAGGCA